GACUAUAGAAAAGGAGCUCACAAUCUAUUUAGUGGCAGGCGCACACUGCCAGAAUGUGUGAGGCAUCUUAAUAGUGUGCU
ensembl:miRNA Mir28b microRNA 28b